UUUCCAGACUCCUACGGGAGGCAGCAGUGGGGGAUAUUGCACAAUGGGGGGAACCCUGAUGCAGCGACGCCGCGUGGGCGAUGGAGUACUUCGGUAUGUAAAGCCCUAUCAGCAGGGAAGAAAAUGACGGUACCUGACUAAGAAGCCCCGGCUAAAUACGUGCCAGCAGCCGCGGUAAUACGUAUGGGGCAAGCGUUAUCCGGAUUUACUGGGUGUAAAGGGAGCGUAGGCGGCCUGGCAAGCCUGAUGUGAAAUACCGGGGCCCAACCCCGGGGCUGCAUUGGGAACUGCCAGGCUGGAGUGCAGGAGAGGUAAGCGGAAUUCCUGGUGUAGCGGUGAAAUGCGUAGAUAUCAGGAGGAACACCGGCGGCGAAGGCGGCUUACUGGACUGUAACUGACGUUGAGGCUCGAAGGCGUGGGGAGCAAACAGGAUUAGAUACCCCCGUA
rnacentral:rRNA from 1 species